rnacentral:ncRNA from 2 species
UCUAUGGAGUCUCUCGACGGUUCCCCGACGGUGAAGCGAAGGGGAUUAAUAGGGAACACGGUGCGGACGACCCAACAGGGACCAAAACCGUGGCUGCCCCCGCAACUGUAAGCGGAUUGCCGUCCAUCCUCCUGGCGCCUCGAGCGCCGUGCCACUGUGCCAACCGGCACGGGAAGGCAGAUGGACGACAGAUAUCCGUAAGCCAGGAGACCUGCCGUCAUGCGUUCGCUCCA